CUGACCAAGGCAUGCACUGUAAAAUAGGAUGAUAUUCAAGGCUGGGUUCUUUAACCACAUUUAUUGUCACUUGUUUGAGUGUCUCCCUCGCCCCUUUCUCUUUAAUAUAUAAAAAAGUAACAGGUCUGGACAUUUUUACAAUCAGGAUUCAGGGUGGGUGGGGUAAACCAUAAAUAUACACCAUCAGACCGAGGGAGGCUGGUUGGCAGAACAGCAAAGUCAAGGAAAUUUUUCAGCAAGCUUGAAAAUGCAAGGAAUGCCUCAUCUUUUUUGAAGCACAGAGUCACAACUUGAACUGGGGGAAAAAACCCCACACCUCUUCCUCCCUUUGCCCCCAAUGCCUUCGCCCCCACCCCAAUUUAAGUAAAACCCCAUCCCUGCCAAGGGAAUGACUGUGAGAGCACCACAGUAAAUAGUGCUGAAAUUAACACAAACCAACAGUUGGAUUCUCAAGCUGGGUAUUUUUUUGCAGUAAAUGCAAUUUUUAUGGGUUCAAAUUCCAGCACAUAUUUUUCUUUAAAAAGCUCCAAUGCCUAGGGUUAACAAUCAUUUAAAACUCUUACCUGUCUACCCGCCCACCCAAUUCUGAAUGGAGCAAGGGUUAGAGGAAAGUCUGGAAGCCUUUGGUCUACAAAUCCCAUUACCCAGCACCACCAUGUAACCCCAAGCCGGCUACAGGGGCGGAUGGGAAUUGUGGACUGACAACCUCUAGCGGGCCAGACUACAACUGGUGGGGCGUCCCUGGCUCUAUCCACUUACUCAUGAACCAAGACACGGGGGCAAAGGCUCACCUAACCCUUCGCUCCCCAAUGUGAAGUGCAAUUAGGUGACUAAUAGUAUCAUUCUGAAGCUGCCAGGGUAUGAAAGCUGCAGAUUCUGGUGAGGGCCAGAACCCCUCCAAAGGCGGUAGAAAUGUAAGGACCUUUUUAGGCCCACCUUAGCUGCAAGACUGAGGGCAAAUACAAAACAUCCAAUAUUUUCUUACUGGGGGGAGUCCUUCACCAAACUCUUCUCACCCCAACCCCAGACCCCCUGAUGUCACUGGCACAGGAGGUUCACCCACACAUGCCCAUCUGUGGCAAGUUGAAAUGAAAGACACACACAAGGGUAUAAACGGCAACAUAUAGCCUGCUGCAAAACACCCUUUAAAUUAAUAAAACAAAACAAAAUAAGAUGAGCUGCACAGCAUUAGAAUGGAAGAUUCUGCAGAGAAGGUUGGGGCCAGGUGAGUAGUCUGCUUCUGCCCAGUGGGUUUCCUCCUCCCAAUUUUAUUCACAGGACAAGGAAAGAGAAAGAAGCCUCUGCCUCAAUAGAUAACAAAGCCAUUGGCUACAGUUAACAAACUGAAAAGCAAAAGUCAUUCCCAAAUCCUGGGCAGGCAAGUCAGGAGUCCAUGUCUUGAGCCCAACUUUCAACAAAUUGCUUUCAAGAUUAUUUGGCAUCAAGAAAAAACAACUGCUCUGUUUAGGCCCCCUUAUAUUAUAUUAAAAGAGAGAGAAUGUGAGCUAGUUUGGAUUUAACAAUCCUAAUUUGCUAAACCAGCAGUUCAUCAUGGUUUCUUUAAACUAGGCUUGGGGAAUUUUUGGCCCUGCAGAUGUUGCUGAAGUACAGUUCCCCUCAUCCCUGGCCACGCUUGCUGGAGCUGAUGAGAACUGUCUUCAGGGACAUCAGGAGACCCCAAAGUUCCCCAUGCCUGCUUCAAAACCCAAAGCUUCCUGUUGACUCCAAAAUGUUGUGGUUUAAUCCUUGGGCUCCAAAUUCGAUGUAAAAAACCAGGAUUAAAUCCUGGCCACAGUACUAUUUCAGCUGCAACAAUAAACUCUGGUCCAAAAUAACUAUGAUGGAAGGGUCAAAGGCACAGGAGUGAGCAAGUGGGCACAACACUCAUUGCCGGGCCAGUAAAGUUUUAUUAAAUUAGGAUCAUUAUCUCUGAGCUGGCCCCCAUAUCAGCCGCAGCUCCUGUGAAGGUGGCCUGUAGCCAAGGAGAUGCUUGCUUGUUGCUCAGACCAAGAACCCAGUGUGACCUGGAAGCUGUUUUAUGUAAGGUGAAGACACUGGCCUGAGGUGGUUGAUUUCAGGUGCCACAGUGGGUUAGCAGAAUGAGAUGGACAGAUAUGACUCAUUUGGGGAAGAGAAAUCCAUUGGGAAGUUCUUCUGCAGAAGCAUCAAUGAAAUAAAUGGAAGAUGCGAAAGAGUGUUCUGAUGCAGGUCUCUCCAACCUACUUAAUUUGAGGCAGCUUUUCAACUGUUUUGCCCCAACUGGAUGGUGCAACAGCUCCUCACAGAUGUGCCCUCCCAUCCCAAGUUCUCACUUUGGUUUUAGACACCACCCCCAUCUCAGCCUGAUGCUUCCAGACAGCCAUGUAUUUUGUUUGCUUUGUUUUCCUUUACGCGUUGCUUAGCACUUUGAAGUUUCUUCUUAAAAACCCCAUGGGCCACUCAGUCAUGCAUCCAAAGAAAAAGGAAAGGAAACUGAUGAUGUUGCCUAAAGGUUCGUAUUUACAGACGGUCUCAUUUUCUACAUGUUUACUGCAUUAACAGCUAGUACCAUCGCUACAAUAAGGGCCCCCAUAGCGAGUACAAGGGGGUGGAUGUCACAGAACCUCAACAAUUCCAGAUUUCCUGAGUCAAAUAAGAGUAAAGAGAUUCCAGGUGAAUUUGGGGACGAUCCAGGUGAAUUUGGGGAAGAUCCAGGUGAGUUUGGAGAAGAUCUAGGUGAAUUUGGAGAAGAUCCAGGUGAGUUUGGGGAAGAUCUAGGUGAGUUUGGAGAAGAUCCAGGUGAAUUUGGAGAAGAUCCAGGUGAAUUUGGAGAAGAUCCAGGUGAGUUUGGGGAAGAUCCAGGUGAAUUUGGAGAAGAUCCAGGUGAGUUUGGAGAAGAUCUAGGUGAGUUUGGAGAAGAUCCAGGUGAAUUUGGACAAGAUCUAGGUGAGUUUGGGGGAGAUCCAGGUGAAUUUGGAGAAGAUCCAGGUGAGUUUGUGGAAGAUCCAGCUGAAUUUGGAGAAGAUACAGGUGAGUUUGGGGAAGAUCCACGUGAAUUUGGAGAAUAUCCAGGUGAGUUUGGGGAAGAUCCAGGUGAGUUUGGAGAAGAUCUAGGUGAAUUUGGAGAAGAUCCAGGUGAGUUUGGGGAAGAUCCAGGUGAAUUUGGAGAAUAUCCAGGUGAGUUUGGGGAAGAUCCACGUGAAUUUGGAGAAGAUCCAGGUAAAUUUGGAGAAGAUCCAGGUGAGUUUGGA